ensembl:lncRNA
UCAUAUACAAAUCUUUUUGUUUGUUCAUCAAGUAGUCAGAAUAGGUAUGUUUCCCAUAGCCUGUUGUAAAACUCCUGUUAAAUGUUCACUCUACAGAAAUACCAAAGAUUACUCUGGAAAGGAUUCAAUCUGAUCGCAGGGAUGGGGUGCUUCUGAACUGGCACACUGACGACAGACAGAGCUAGAACCAAUUGGUUUCAGGCUGUGGUCCUCUAUUCUGAUUGGAAGUUUUCUCAUGUCCUACAAUGUGCAGGUUGCAUGGGGAAAGCAUUGGAAAUCACAGACACACAUACCAGCCUGGCAGCACAAACUUAAAUUAACUGCCUAGUGUAAAUACAUUUGAGUAUGUAAAGUUAACGUUGUUAACUCAUACUCAAAUGUGGUUGACUCAGUCGAUUGUACAUGGCGAAGCAUACGUUUUGGAAAAAAAACACCUCAGUCAACCAUCCAUGUGCAAUAGAACCGUAAAUCGGAGCGGGACUUCUGCAAACACAUUGCCUUUGGCAGCCGCAAUGACUACAUAACCCGUGACCAGAUUGAAUUCCUGGCUGUUACAGUCUUUCCCUUUUUACAUCCAUCCUACAGUUUAUACAGACUGUGGUUCACCAACGCACAACACAGCACAGGCAUCCAAAAAAUAGAUCCCAACUACAGAAAAAAUUUACAGACGACUGAAGUUAAUAUCCCAUAAUGCGUAUCUUUUAUUAUACAUUGCAGUUUGGCUGUGUUUCAGAUUGAGAGGUUAAGACCCUUUUCUGUGCACCGCUACAAAUCUGUUCCCGUUCAGUGAAGUGGAAGCCAUCAGAGUAACACUAUGGUACUGUAUGUUGGUGACAACGCAAAGGCAGGUCGCAACUUGGCAAGCGAAGACGCCGAACACACCCACUCAGCAGUACACCAGCACACUACUGUUAUAUCAACAGCAAUCGCUCCGUGUUGUCAUCACAAGGAAGAAGACGUGUAGCGAGCCCAUAGUCGAUUAACUAGCUCCUAACUUGCGUUGACCUGAUUUUGUCUGCUGUAAUUCUGG